CACGUAGGAGGCAAGCGUUAUCCGGAUUUACUGGGCGUAAAGCGCGUGCAGGCGGUUCGGUAAGUUGGAUGUGAAAGCUCCUGGCUCAACUGGGAGAGGUCGUUCAAUACUACCGGACUUGAGAGCAGUAGAGGGAGGUGGAAUUCCCGGUGUAGUAGUGAAAUGCGUAGAUAUCGGGAGGAACACCAGUGGCGAAAGCGGCCUCCUGGACUGUUUCUGACGCUCAGACGCGAAAGCUAGGGGAGCAAACGGG
rnacentral:rRNA from 1 species